GCUUGACAAGACUUAAGAAAUCAACAGUGAGGGAAGUGAUGAAUGGAGAACAACCUUGUACAUAUUUCUGCAGAAGCAGCAGUUGGAAAAGAGGAUUGAGGAAGCAUCAAUGUGCUCACACAAUAAUCUAGGGGUACGCGUAAAUUACCUUUGAUUCUUGCCUUUAUUUCAAGUAUAUAGUUAUCAGUGCUGUGCUGUAAAAGCCAUUAUUGCAUUUUCCACUAGAGAGCAGCAAAGACUUGCAAUUUAUUUACAGCACCAUCCUAUGUAUGUUUACUCAGAAAUAACACUUUGUUUGGUGAGCUUACUCCUAGGUAAAUCGGUAUAGGGUGGAAGUAUUAUUGAUUGAUUGAUUGAUUGAUUGAUUGAUUGAUUGCAUGUAAUAUCACCUUUUUAUCCAAACAGUUCAAGGUGGUGUGGUGCUCCCCAUUCCUCAUUUAAUCUGCACAACAAGCCUUUGAGAUAGGUUAGGCUGAGAGGCAGUGACUAGCCCAGUGUGCUUCAUGGCCGAGUCAGGAUUUGAAUCCUUGUCUCCAACAUCCUAGUCCGAUACUCUAACCACGACAUCACACCCAAAGGCUGACUAUGUAGAAGAAUCCACAGGACUCCAAAUAAAAAUCAACAGGUAUGUGGGUAUAUUAAAUACCACUUGGAAGAAGUACCUUGGCAUAAUAUGUUUUGGCUGGAGCUAUAAUGUGGCCUUUGGAUUAAUCACUUUUAUUUUUCUUAUUCACUCUCAAUAAUGCAUGCUGUACCUAUACAUAAAGACUUUCAAUCCAGUAUUUUUGCAUGGGCAAUUUGAUACAGGUGACUGUAAGGCAAGAAUAAAAGCUGUCAUUAAAAAUAUAAUGUUUGGAAAUGGUUAAACAUCACAGGUAGAGUGUAUUUUCAAGCUGAUGGCUAGCAAGCUGAAUAUUUACCAUUUGACCUAUGACUUUUAGAUCAUUCGUACACUGGCAACAGUGAAGGAAUCAGAUUGGGAGAGCACAUUCCAGAAAAUGCACCAUGAUCCCAGAAUUAGCUAAGAGUAUGACAUUAUCUAAAGAUGCAUACCAUGAGGUUCAAAUUAUCUGGUAUGUUGCAUGCGCAGAGUCUCAGUGCAAGAUUUAAUCUUUAAGAUCAUAAUCAUGGAUCAAGGUGCUUUCCUGGCAGUCAUUCACAAGGAGUAUUUAAGGACAUCAUGCUUGGGUAUGUUGAUCCUACAAUCCCACUGUUCCAGGAGAAGGCCAGUGCAUGAUAUUGUCCUAAUCAUAUGCACUCCAGCAGCAAACCAGAGACCAAGAUAAUACUGUUAGAAGGUAGCUAUCAGCCACUCCCACAGGGUCCUUGGCAUUAUGUCAGUAAGAGCUGUUUGACAGUGGAACGAACUCCCUCGAUAGCUUGUGGACUCUCCCUCCUCGGAGGUUUUAAAGCAGAGGUUGGAUAGCCAUCUGUCAUGGAUGCUUUAGUUGAGAUUUAGUUGAGAUUCCUGCAUUGCAGGAGGCUGGACUAGAUGAGCCUUGGGGUCCCUUCCAGCUCUAUGAUUCUAUGUCACCUCCAGUUACCCAUACAGAAAAAGUACCAAUCCAUGCCCAAUGACAGCAUGGAUGUCACUCCUCCCCACAUACAGAGCACAAGCACAAUCCCUCCCACUAACAGACAACAGUGCCUCCCUCUCCAAUGCUGUGAUCACCCAAAACUCAAUAGGCUUGUGUGUAGAAAUCAGAGGCUCCUCUGCCAGCAGCAGGAGUGACAGCUUGGCCCCGCAAUUGUGAGUGCCCGGGGCCGUGCAUGCCAGUGCUAUGCAGUGUGCAUGGCCCUGGCGCCGAAAUUUGCCGGUGCCCAGCCCCUUCAUGGGGAGUUUUGUGGGUGCUCGGGCACCCAGGGCCCCAGGGAGGGUUCGAAAUGUGUUGGGGUGCUUCCACAUAUAAAGGUAAAGGGACCCCUGACCAUUAGGUCCAGUCGUGACCGACUCUGGGGUUGCGGCGCUCAUCUCACUUUACUGGCCGAGGGAGCCGGCAUACAGCUUCCGGGUCAUGUGGCCAGCAUGACUAAGCCGCUUCUGGCGAACGAGAGCAGUGCACGGAAACACCGUUUACCUUCCCGCCAGAGUGGUACCUAUUUAUCUACUUGCACUUUGACAUGCUUUCGAACUGCUAGGUUGGCAGGAGCUGGGACCGAGCAUCAGGAGCUAACCCCGUCGCGGGGAUUUGAACCACCGACCUUCUGAUCAGCAAGUCCUAGGCUCUGUGGUUUAACCCACAGUGCCACCCACGUCCUGCUUCCACAUAGAUAAUACUAAUAACAUUGCACAUAGCAUGUCUGCUCCAAUUCAGCAGUAAAGAGCAGGUUUCAUGGGGAAAGCACUGGGGCCAAAAAAUAAUAAUUAAAAAAAUGCUCAGACAGGGAGCUUUAAAGCACAGACCUGUGCCUAGAAAUGUAGCAUGAAAGCAAGUCUGGAUGACCCUAGAUCAGGGGCAGGUCAUGCUCUAAUCCAAUAAUAGGUCAUGCUGCCAGAAUAAGCAGCAGGUGGAUUUCAGAUAGGAGCUAAUAGCCUUUCACUGCAGAAAAGGAAAGAGCAGAAAAAAAUAAACAAUGAUUUCAUUAUGGUUGAAAUGAAAUGAGUGAAAACACAUCUCUCUCCAAAAGUGACAUGAAGGGUCUGUUCUCUCACAAGGCGGCUACCACAUGGGCUGUGUACACACUAUACAUUUAAAGGACAUUCUUUCCUUCAAAUAAUUCUGGGCACUGUAUGUUGAGGGUUGCUGGGAAUUGUAAUUCUGUGAAGGGUAAACUACAGUGCCCAUAAUUCUUUGAGGGAAAUAUUGUGUUCCAAAUGUGCUUUACAGGUAUCAUGUGUACUUCUGACUCAAACCUCUGUCACUUGGAAAUAAUUAUAAAGGGUUGUAUCCACUGUUUCCAUUUCCUCUCCUCUCCCUCACCCCACCCCACAAUAUCUUCCAGAAUAUGCUCCAGAGGAUCCCCAAGCCUGAUUUUGGGGAGUGGGGAGCUGGAGGGUACAGGAGAGGAAGAAGAUGAAGCACUGGAUAUGGCCCUCUUGGGUCUGAAGAGAAUCAAACUGCACAGUCUGCAAUGGAAGACUGAAUUUUGAUCUGACUAGAAAAGAGGAGGCUCCUACAAAUUAUUAUUUAUUAUGUUUUUAGAUAUGCUGUAAACUGCCCAGAGUGGCUGGGGAAACCCAGCCAGAUGGGUGAAGUAUAAAUAAUAAAAUUAUUUAUUAUUAUUAUUAUUAUUAUUAUUAUUAUUAUUAUUAUUAUUCCUUCAAAUCAACCUGAGUUGGGGGACAGCUAAGGACCUCUACUGUACCAUUGGAAAUCUGUGAAUACCAUAAGAUAUCAGGAUUUGGUUGCGCUCUCCACAUAAAUCGGAUUUAUUUCUAAAAGGGUGCUUUAUUACUUGGUGCCAAUGGCAGCUUCAGUGGGGCAUGGAUUUCAUCAGGACCACAGUGUGUAGGUGGAAAUGGUUAAUCCCCACCUCCAGAUACAACUAUGGUAAGCAAAAGCAAUAAGGACUCUUUUUACAGUUCUGGGUGAAAAAUACUGACAGAUUAUUAGAAAUGGGAAGUCUGCAUUUAGGAAAAUCUGCCAUUUUAGGUUUUUCUCUCUGUUAAAAUGAUAGGAAGGAAAUACAUACACUGGAUGUAGAGAGAGAGAGAGAGAGAGAGAGAGAGAGAGAGAGAGAGAGAUGGUGGUGACAUUACUUUUAUUAGUAGGAACAGCCACACUGAAAAUGCUGGUACUCGUGUGUCUGGAAUCACAGCUUGAGUGUUAAAGGGCAGAGGAUAAAAGGAUCAAGGGCAACCACAGGAAGGAGAAAAAAAGACCUAGGAUCAAUCCAAU